rnacentral:rRNA from 1 species
CCUACGGGAGGCAGCAGUAGGGAAUUUUGCGCAAUGGGCGAAAGCCUGACGCAGCAACGCCGCGUGAUCGAGACGCCCUUCGGGGUGUAAAGAUCUGUCAGUGGGGACGAAACUUGACGGUACCCACAGAGGAAGCACCGUCUAACUCCGUGCCAGCAGCCGCGGUACUACGGGGGGUGCACGCGUUGUCCGGAAUCAGUGGGUUUAAAGAGUUCGUAGGCGGCACGUAAAGUCUGGUGGUAAAGGCAGAGUAUCAACUUCUGUACGGCAGUGGAUACUUGCGGGCUAGAAUGCGGUCAGGGAAAAGGGAAUUCCUGGUGUAGCGGUGAAAUGCUUAGAUAUCAGGAGGAACAUCGGUGGCGUAAGCGAUUUUCUGGGCCGUAAUUGACGCUGAGGAACGAAAGCCAGGGUAGCAAAUGGGAUUAGAUACCCUUGUAGUC